rnacentral:rRNA from 1 species
UACGGAGGGUGCGAGCGUUAAUCGGAAUUACUGGGCGUAAAGGGUGCGUAGGUGGUUUGUUAAGUUAUCUGUGAAAUCCCUGGGCUCAACCUGGGCAGGUCAGAUAAAACUGAUAAACUCGAGUAUAGGAGAGGGUAGUGGAAUUUCCGGUGUAGCGGUGAAAUGCGUAGAGAUCGGAAGGAACACCAGUGGCGAAGGCGGCUACCUGGCCUAAUACUGACACUGAGGCACGAAAGCGUGGGGAGCAAACAGG